rnacentral:rRNA from 1 species
UACGAAGGGAGCUAGCGUUGUUCGGAAUUACUGGGCGUAAAGCGCACGUAGGCGGAUUUGUUAGUCAGGGGUGAAAUCCCGAGGCUCAACCUCGGAACUGCCUUUGAUACUGCAAAUCUCGAGUCCGGAAGAGGUGAGUGGAAUUCCUAGUGUAGAGGUGGAAUUCGUAGAUAUUAGGAAGAACACCAGUGGCGAAGGCGGCUCACUGGUCCGGUACUGACGCUGAGGUGCGAAAGCGUGGGGAGCAAACAGGG